AGAUGAUCAGACUUCUUCUACCUGUCUGGUUUUCCACCCACCCCUAUGCUCACAGAGCUCAGACAGUGGUUCCCAUACAGGAAGCUGUCCAGGAACACAAGGUAUUGAGUUGCUGUUCUGUCUUAUGGGCAAUAACUUUGCAUUUUAAUAACUGGUUACUGGCACCACAAGGUGCAUCCCUCACAGUACGCAAACAGCUGAGCAAAGCAGUGGCACUCCAGCCUGGCAAGAAAGGAACCAGAAGGGAAGAUUUUGGAUUUGUCUGAUGUGGGAAAGUUUUCUCUGAGCAUCUGAAUCCUUUUCAAACCCAGUGCCCAGCAAGGACAUGUGGGAAUUUUCAACAGACUAGGAGCUGUGAAAUGAUCCAUGAGUUCCUCUUAGAGUGGUCCCAGUGGGUGCUUCACUCAUGGUGUUGGGCUUGUCCCGUACCACAGCUCAGAUGCUUUGUAUAACUGUUUCCAGCUGGGUGCGCGUGCGCAGGAUACAGUUCAUGCCGUUUGCGCUCUUUGAUCUUUGCGCGUACCCAGCUUCCCUGUCAGGUCAGGACUACCCCCUCGAUAGCGACACAGUGUGAGGCUGAUCCCAAGGCUGUGUGAGGCUGAUCAAAGGCAAUCAAGGGAACAAAAGAUUAAACACUCCCAGUCACACAGUUCCAACCACCACAGUAACUGAAAUCACCUGCAACAGAACAGAAACAAAAUGCAAACAAACAGUCCAGCAAACUCACUCACUCACGCCAAAGCUAGUCCACUCUUCUGGCAGCCUGUUCAGUGGCGGGAUCUCUUGUGCGCCCUCUCAAACUCUCCUGUCUGCAGCCUCCUGUCCGCUUCACAUGGAGGUGGGAAGGUUUUUUAUUGGUAGAUUUCUCUAUGACUUUGAGGAACAUGGGCUUGUGUGUGUUUCUCCAUUGUCCUGAAAUAGUCUCUUGUGUGUGUACUUGUGUAUAUGUGGGAAAAACUGAAGCAUGAAAGAUGCAUUUAAAGUAACUACAAGACUUGCUUGGCAUUGCCCUGGUCCUUCAGGGCAGGGGGCUGGUGAUGGGUGUAGGUAGGGCGAGGCAAAAGUGAGGGUUGGGCGCUGAGUAGGCGCUCAGGGCCAGAGGGGACUUUCUCUCCUUUCCCUGUCUGCAGGGCCUUUUCUCACCCCCUCCGCCUCUCCACCUACCCCCAGUUUCCAAUGGCCAGCAGGGCCCUUCUCUCUCCCUCACACCUCCUGCGGCCUUCUGUCUCCUCCCAGCUCCCUGACCUCCUUCUGGUGCUGUGGCAAGGGCUAGGGGAGGAGAAAGGUUUGGGAUGGGGGGGGGAGCUACUUACCUGGUCUGGUGACAGACAAGAUGGCAGAGCCCCAGCUCUGCUGGUCACUCUUUUGGUGGUAUGACUGUCGUCCCCCCCCAAGUGGCCACUCUGCAUAUAGCUUUCCCCUGCAGGCUCAGCACCCCCAUUGGCUACUCUCAGUUUCGCAUCCCUCUUCUCUGUGCCCCUCCCUUCAAUGUUACAGAAAACAGUCCCUUUCCCAGCACAGCCCAUUGUCCUGGCACAGCCAAACCCUGGCUUUGCUUUACGUUAGGAUAGGAAGAAGCUGUAAACCAAAAUUGGUGGUCCUAGCUCUUCCCAUUUAGGAGUACUUGAGCAAAGAGACUCACAGACGGACAUUUCUAAAAUAUACAUAUGUAUGAGUUAAUUCCUAUUCAUGGUGAUGUUCACAAAACUUCUCCCAAACUGCACAUAUUAUUUUCCAGGAGGCCCGGAGACAUCCCUUUAAGGCAUAUUGGGGCCAAAACUGUAAAACAAAGACACUGUCAGGAAACUCUCCGCACAGAUUUCCCAUCUCAGCAAGGUGAUCAGUGAGCUGGAGGGGAAGUGUCAGAAGCCAGCGAGUGAAUUCCUGCGGGACUUCAGGUACAUGGCGUUGUCUCUCUCCAGGUGUGAGACGAGGCCGUUCCAGCCGCCAGAGGAGAUUUCUCCUGAACUGGAUUUGGGAAUCUGUCAUUUCGCCCAGAAAACUGUUGCUCUAGUGAAGACUCUGAGGAAGUUCAAAGACACUCUGCCCUCUGUACUGGAGACACAAAGAGGGGAGUCCCUAGUAGUGCACAGACAAGGACACCCACCUGAGCCCCACCAUUCCCAUGGAGAAGAGGGUUGUGAUUGCCCUGUGGAAACUGGCCACCCCAGACAGCUACCUCUCCAUGGCAAACCAGUUUGGGGUGGGCAGGUCCAUCAUCAGCACAGUCGUCUGGCAGGUAAGGCCCUCCGUGGAUCAUGGGCUCGUCCUGCGAGAGGGAAGGGGCCAGCCUGGGUGGGGGGAGGCUGUAGAGGCAGGGGGAAGCCCCGCACCCAGGGGGUCAUGCUGUCCCUUCUGCACACAGCCCCGCUGGUGGUGGUGGGGAAAUCCCAGGGGGCAGAGGGUCCUGUCCUGCGUGGGGGAAGGGGCCAGGAAAGAAAAGUUGAGCACACCCCAGGGGCCCAUGUAUGCACUGUGUCUCAUUUCAUGCUCCCAUGUGCUUCUCUGCAUGUCGUCCAUGCCAUCAAUGACGUACUGCUCCAGAGGGUCAUCUGCCCCCGUGAAGUGAACACCACCAUUGUCGGCUUCACCAGCCUUGAGUUCCCAAACUGU